AUUUUUAGAAAUUCUACCUUUAGGCUUUGGUCAAGUAAAAAUGUUCUACUUUCUUUAGAUCAUAUACUUUUUACUAUAAUAGAUUAUGGACAUAGCCAAGGUGGCUUUCACGGUACACGACAGAAAUUUGCACGCUCAAUCUAUUCGAAUGAUACUGUCAUAGUGGCAUACUGAUAAGAGAUAACGUUGAAAUCAAAUAUUAAAACAUUUAAAACCAAAUUUUUGAAUUUUGUCGACUUAUUAUUGAAUUUGCUACUAAUUAAUUGGGUAUCAAAAUUUUAUACUAAACUAUAAAAAUGUUCUUCAUCGACAUGGGCAGAGUGUGUUGUUUUUAUUGCCAAUCGUCGGCAUCCAAAAUGUUAGGUUUAACAUUUUACACAUUACUUGCUGAUGAAUAUUUACAAAAUGCUUGGCUUAAAGCUUGUGGUUAUACCGAAAACUAUUCAUCAGAUAGAAGAAUAUGUUCUCUCCACUUUGAAGAUGAUCGUUUUAUGGCCACUACAAGGAAAUUAUUAAAACCUGGUGGCUGGCUCAGUCCCUACAAAAUUUCAUAAAAUUACAUGGCAUUUGAUGCAAAUGAUUGAACCUAUUCAGUGUAUGGUAUCCUAUAAUAAAAAUCUCAUAGAAUCUACCAAAAGAACUACUACAUAAAGGAGGAAUCAUUAUGUUGGUGGUGUGACUACUCCAGAUAUGAGUACUUUGAAACGUGCUAAAGAUAAUUUCAAAGUGGCUAAAUUAAAAUUCAUUAAACAGAGGAGAAAAAUCAAAACAUUAACAUAGCAAAUUAAUAGGUUACAAAAAGAAAUUGAUCAUCAUGGAGAACUUUGUUUGCAUGUAUGAAAAAACAGAAUUUAUUGAGCGAAGUAGCCCAUGACAACACUCUGCCUACUACAUACCUAAUGCUGAUUAAUAAAAUAUGAAAGAAUCGAACUGCAGUCAAUAAAAACAGAUAUGGCAAAAGAAAAACAAGUGAAGGAAGAGUGACAGAAGUGACUGAUUAGUUAAUAGAGGAAUUUACUAAUUAAUAGGUUGGCAGGACAAGCACUUCCCGGGAAGAUGAAUAGGAACAAGAAGUCUAGCAGCUUUGGUCACCUAGGUCGUCCCACUUAACACCAAUGGAGUUUUUGUUAGAGGGUUAUUUGAAAAAUCUUAUGUAUCCGUUUUAUUUAUUGCCUGAUCUCCGUCAUAUAAUUGAACAAAAUAUUCAAAAUAUCUUACUUAGCUCAGACAUUAGAAAAUGUUAAAAACGCUUGGGUCCAAAAACUUCUACUCCGUGUUGCAAAUAAUGGAGGUCGCUUCAAACAUUUAUAAAAAAAAAAAUGUAAUGAAAUAUUUUUGUUUUUAUAUAAUAAAAUCUUUUUUUUCUAUUAACAAUCAAGUUUAAAAAUAUUAUCUGAAUUUUAAUUUUAAUCUUUUUUAAAAGCUCCACUUUUAAUUAGAUAUUUACAGAUUGCCAUAAAAAAUCAGCGUUCUAAUCGAGAUUGAUUAAAUUGAGCAAUUCGUAUUUUGCUAGGUAACAUAACUAUUAUUAUAAUUAUUCAAAAACAUAACUUACUCUAACCUGGUCAACUUUUAUUUAAUUUAAAAAAAAAUUGAAUUUUAUACCAUUCAGUCAGAAUUUUCAUAAAAUUUUCAAAAAACCGUGUUUAAAUUUAUUGAUUUUCCAUGGAGAUUUUAGGUCAUAUGAGACUUUUGGGACAUACUGUACACUAAAUUGAUUUGGUUUUAUAACAUUUUAUUUUUUAGAUCAGGACUAUUUAGCAUAAUGUUAUAAUAAACACUAAAGUUAAACUAAUUUCUCUGGUAGAGUUCUUACACUUAAUCCAUACAUUUUUAUUCCAAAUAUUUAAUUAUUAUAUAAUUGUAUUAGGUAUCUUAUUUUCUACAACUGUUGUUCACUUUUUCCAUGUUAGAUGCACUAUUCCUCAUAUCCAAACCAAACGUGAGACCACACGACAUCUCAGAGUUUCGUGUUCAACACAAUUGGCUUUCUACCUGAGGUCACUAUAGCAUUGAUGACCUGCUUACCAAAUAUGUAAGAUAACUUCUACUCAGUAUCAACAUCAUUGUCUUAUUGUUUUAGUUAUUAAAAAAUAUUUUUGAAGUUAAACUUUUCAAUGAAUUUAUUUGUGGUUCUUUUAUAAACUUAGUAUUUUUGAUAACUAAUUUGUAUUAUAUAUUUUAUCAAUGUAUUGUUAUUUAUUAGAAAUAUAAUGAUAUAUAUAUAUUUACACAUUAUAUUAUUUUCCGGUAAUAGAAAAUUAUUUUUUUCUUCUAUCACUAGUUUAAAAUGUAUAAAUUAUUAGAAUAAUGUUUUAGACAAAUUAGUUUAAAUUUGCAAUUAUAUUCUAAAAAUUAUCGUCUUUGUAAUUGCUUAUUUCAAGACAUAAUAUCUUUGUAUAAUCCCAUUGCCUACAUAGUGCAUAUUAAAUGGAUUAUCACUUCUAUAAUUCUAUGAGUUUUUACUUAAUACAAUAUAAUCUCAUUCAAGUAUUCAACAUAUUCUUAUCUAUGAAGUAAUAAUUAAUAGUCCUGAACGACAUACAUCUAGUUUUAAAACAGUUCUAUCAUCUUCGGUGGUUUUUGAUUCACACUUCAUUGAUAUGACAUUAAUUAUGCGUUGUUACUAUUAGACUUUAGUGCACGAUCUUCACUUUAUUUUAUAUAUUUAUAAUAUUAUGUAAUAAUGGCCUAUGAUGGGUGGCUUUCAUUUGAGCUAAUAACCCAGAAACAUAUCGCUUGGGUGAAAUUUAUACGGCCCCCUAUAAUAUGUCGUUAGGCAAGUUUAUAUACAUAAUUUUGGUGAAAUUUAUACGGAUAUUAUAAGGAUAUUAUUUAUACGUUUUCCUUCCCAUUUUCGGGUCUCUCAGUUAACUUUAACUUGAUAUGGUUAAAAAUUUGUAGUAAAUAUAGGUAAGUACCUAAACAUUUUUAAUAGGCAUGUUGUUAUUUCCCUCGCAAACUUAACUUCGGUUACAUAAUAAAGUUAAGUAUUCACAAGUUCACAUGAUUUCUACACAUGACACGCACACUUGUUUUCAUUUGAAAUAUUAUUUAAUUAGAUAUUUUGUAAGUGUGUGUACGUUCAACCAUGCGUAAUAACUGUUAAUCAUAUAUUUCGAUACUACCCUUAUGGCUUUAUACUAGUUUAGGAACUCCACUAUAUUAUAUACAUAGUUAGGUAUUAUAGUAUUAAUAUUAUAUCUGAUCAGUGUUCAGGAAUAUUUUUGUGCCUGCGUACCAGAUACAAAAUCGUGAUUGAUUAUUUUUGACCAGAGUGACAGUGUGUCACUAAAAAAUAAGUUUGUUUAAAAAAACAAAUAUUUUAAAAUAUACUUUAAAAACAAUUUUUGAACUGUUAUCUAUGAGAUCCAAAUUAAAUAUCAGUAAUGAUUUAUAGACCAUUUUAAACAUAUUAAACAUUAAUAGGAAUUUAUAUUAAAACAAUAUUAUAAUUCAUAUAGAUUGUACCUACAGUAUUUUCCAAUAUAAAUAUAUAUAUUUUUUUAACUAAAAUUGAUUGAACCGCGGUUUUACUCGAAAAGCGGUCAGUCAUAAUUUUACCAUUCCUGCUGUAGAUUAUCCAUAAACCGAAUAAUAUAAGAUAAUUCAUCACGUAUCUGGCUUCAAAUUCAACGAUAACUACGGUAUGCGUAUAAUUAACUAUUAACAUUUUAACAGUAUACCUAUGAUAUAAUAGGUAUAUAUUAUAUUAUAAUUAAGUCUGCUCAAGUGCACAACUGACAACAUAAUAUCAUUAUUCAGAUUAACCCGUACCUAUGUUUAAGCACCAACCAUUAUGAUUAUAUUUUUAUAUAUUUGUUCUUUCUUAGCUGAUCAUCGUCAUUUUCAUAGCUCCUCCGUUCUUUUUUCUCUGUAAACUUCCUACAGAUUAUAUUAACUCCAAUUCUGUUCUUACACUAAUUAACUCGAGGUUUCCUGUCCGAUACAUCCGCAAUACUUGUAAAUUGUCUAUUCCGCAUUGCUCAAUAAAUUGUUUAAAAACAACCCUAUCACCCGUAUGAUGGGGUUAACUAAAUGAUGAUCCGUCAUUUCAUGUUUAAUAUUUGAGUUUUUUAUUCAUUAUUGUACUAUAUUGUUUGUAUUUAUGUUAAUUUUUAUACUAUACCAUUUCGUAAUGUUUGUAUUUAAAUAAAUAAAUAAAUAUUAAGUUAUAAAUAUAUAAAUAAAAUUAUAAAACGUAAGUAAUUUUUUUAACUUUAUUUAAUGUGGGUUUUCUAUCUAAGAUACAUAAGAAUUAAAGAAUUACCUACUUAUUGAAAGAUUAAACGACAUUUCGAGUUUCAACAUACGCUGUAUUACUGUACUUAAGUAAUAUUAACACCUAUGUGGCUAUUUAUAUAACAUACGAUGCACCUACUUAUAAGUUAGGUAUGUUGAACACAUAUAAUUGUUGUGUUCACGUCUCUAUCACUACUACUCAACAUAAUGUUUAAAUUAUUACAAUAUAUAAAUUAAAUAGGCGUAUUGUAAUGUUGUAAUUAAUUGUAAACGAAGUAUUAUAAAGGUUAACCAUAUUUUGUUAUGAAUGUCAUUAUGAUAACACAUUAUAUGUUUCAGUGUUAGAUACGAAUAAUGUUGUAAUAUAUUUAAUUAUAAAUCUCAUUUUUUUUUGUU